rnacentral:rRNA from 1 species
GAUGAACGCUAGCGGCAGGCCUAACACAUGCAAGUCGAGGGGCAGCACGUCUUCGGAUGGUGGCGACCGGCGCACGGGUGCGUAACGCGUAUGCAACCUACCUCUUACAGUGGGAUAGCCCAGAGAAAUUUGGAUUAAUACCGCAUAGUAUACAGAUUCAGCAUUGGGACUGUAUUAAACAUUUAUGGGUAAGAGAUGGGCAUGCGUUCUAUUAGUUAGUUGGAGUGGUAACGGCACCCAGACAGCGAUAGAUAGGGCCCGUCAGAGGGGAGUCCCCACCACUGGUACGUAGAGACACGGACCGAGACUCCUACGGGAGGGCAGCAGUGAGGAA